GAUGAACGCUGGCGGCGUGCCUAAUACAUGCAAGUCGAGCGAACGGACGAGAAGCUUGCUUCUCUGAUGUUAGCGGCGGACGGGUGAGUAACACGUGGAUAACCUACCUAUAAGACUGGGAUAACUUCGGGAAACCGGAGCUAAUACCGGAUAAUAUUUUGAACCGCAUGGUUCAAAAGUGAAAGACGGUCUUGCUGUCACUUAUAGAUGGAUCCGCGCUGCAUUAGCUAGUUGGUAAGGUAACGGCUUACCAAGGCAACGGUGCAUAGCCGACCUGAGAGGGUGAUCGGCCACACUGGAACUGAGACACGGUCCAGACUCCUACGGGAGGCAGCAGUAGGGAAUCUUCCGCAAUGGGCGAAAGCCUGACGGAGCAACGCCGCGUGAGUGAUGAAGGUCUUCGGAUCGUAAAACUCUGUUAUUAGGGAAGAACAUAUGUGUAAGUAACUGUGCACAUCUUGACGGUACCUAAUCAGAAAGCCACGGCUAACUACGUGCCAGCAGCCGCGGUAAUGCGUAGGUGGCAAGCGUUAUCCGGAAUUAUUGGGCGUAAAGCGCGCGUAGGCGGUUUUUUAAGUCUGAUGUGAAAGCCCACGGCUCAACCGUGGAGGGUCAUUGGAAACUGGAAAACUUGAGUGCAGAAGAGGAAAGUGGAAUUCCAUGUGUAGCGGUGAAAUGCGCAGAGAUAUGGAGGAACACCAGUGGCGAAGGCGACUUUCUGGUCUGUAACUGACGCUGAUGUGCGAAAGCGUGGGGAUCAAACAGGAUUAGAUACCCUGGUAGUCCACGCCGUAAACGAUGAGUGCUAAGUGUUAGGGGGUUUCCGCCCCUUAGUGCUGCAGCUAACGCAUUAAGCACUCCGCCUGGGGAGUACGACCGCAAGGUUGAAACUCAAAGGAAUUGACGGGGACCCGCACAAGCGGUGGAGCAUGUGGUUUAAUUCGAAGCAACGCGAAGAACCUUACCAAAUCUUGACAUCCUUUGACAACUCUAGAGAUAGAGCCUUCCCCUUCGGGGGGCAAAGUGACAGGUGGUGCAUGGUUGUCGUCAGCUCGUGUCGUGAGAUGUUGGGUUAAGUCCCGCAACGAGCGCAACCCUUAAGCUUAGUUGCCAUCAUUAAGUUGGGCACUCUAAGUUGACUGCCGGUGACAAACCGGAGGAAGGUGGGGAUGACGUCAAAUCAUCAUGCCCCUUAUGAUUUGGGCUACACACGUGCUACAAUGGACAAUACAAAGGGCAGCGAAACCGCGAGGUCAAGCAAAUCCCAUAAAGUUGUUCUCAGUUCGGAUUGUAGUCUGCAACUCGACUACAUGAAGCUGGAAUCGCUAGUAAUCGUAGAUCAGCAUGCUACGGUGAAUACGUUCCCGGGUCU
rnacentral:rRNA from 1 species